UGGGGAAUAUUGCACAAUGGGCGCAAGCCUGAUGCAGCCAUGCCGCGUGUGUGAAGAAGGCCUUCGGGUUGUAAAGCACUUUCAGUUGUGAGGAAAGGCGAUAAGUUAAUACCUUAUUGCUGUGACGUUAACAACAGAAGAAGCACCGGCUAACUCAGUGCCAGCAGCCGCGGUAAUACUGAGGGUGCGAGCGUUAAUCGGAAUUACUGGGCGUAAAGCGCGCGUAGGUGGUUUAGUUAGCCAGAUGUGAAAGCCCCGGGCUCAACCUGGGAACUGCAUUUGGAACUGCUGAACUAGAGUCUUGUAGAGGGUGGUAGAAUUUCAGGUGUAGCGGUGAAAUGCGUAGAUAUCUGAAGGAAUACCGGUGGCGAAGGCGGCCACCUGGACAAUGACUGACACUGAGGCGCGAAAGCGUGGGUAGCGAACGGGAUUAGAUACCCCGGUAGUCCACGCCGUAAACGAUGUCUACUAGCUGUUUGUGGCUAUAUGCCGUGAGUAGCGCAGCUAACGCACUAAGUAGACCGCCUGGGGAGUACGGCCGCAAGGUUA
rnacentral:rRNA from 1 species